AUAACAAGCUGUAACUGAAAACAUGCAGGGGCUUUAAAAAAGAAACAUUUCAUACCAAGUAGUCGUCCUGCUCCGAGUCUGAGUGGCACACGUCGUGAGACGGCAGUGGGUAAUCCAGAGCGAUGGUUGAACAUGAGGCUCGACGGUCUUCACUGUGACCCACGGGGUCGGGGUCCUUCACGUUGGCCUGGAUGGACUCUAACGCGGUGGAGUAGAGAACCUUUUGUCCUUUCCUGCUGUCACACCGGCUUCCUCUGCUCAGAGGCUUUCUGUUCAACACGUGAAUCCCCAACAGGAGGCUGUAGUCCAUGAUCUUGAAGCUCUCCAGCACCUGAGGAGGGACAGUAACUCAAAAGGCGAUGGUUCCUCUCCUGAUGCUGUCGGUGAUAGAAGAAGUCGACAUCUUUGUCACAGAGAGAACUUGAUCAGAGGGAAGCUGGGACGUUCUUCCUCCAGCGGUGAGGCUGAGUUACUUCCUUGUUUCCGUUCAAUGACAAACAACCAGACGCAGUGAUUUACCUUCAAUGGACUCUACUGAAGCUGCAUUUUCCAGGUACACCACUCCUGCAGAUGAGGAAGAAGAGAGAACGUUACACAAUGUGUUGCAUUUGCAUGCGAGCCAAUGCAAAGUACGUUAGCUGAUGUGAAAGCUUCACAGCUCAGACUCUGGACCCAAGUUUCAUUAGCAUUCAUGGGCUUCAAAUAUCUAUCCCUCAGUUUGUCCAGUUUAAAUUUCACAAACUCAGAACUUCUUCUGACUUACAGAGCUUUAAAGUGUGCAGACCUUUCCGUUCGAGCCUCUGCUGAGUUCUGAGUGACCACCAGUGUUUGUGAGAGUCUUUAGCUCCAGAAAGAGUCUUUAGCUCCAGAAUCCCUCACAACAACCCUUGAUCCUAAUUAAGAGGGAUUGGGAAACGGUUACAUACCGAACUCCCCUGUUUUAUAACACCACAUGAGUGGACUCAUUGCCUUAGUGUUUGCAGAAGCAGAGCAACACCCCAAGUGGACACCAAGACAAAUGAUUAAUUGACUUCUUCAGUACCUCAUGAAUAAUCAUCUGUAGUCUCUGCUGGAGGAAUAUAGCUGUAAAACUGUGUCUUCAUUAAACUGAAAACAAUGAUUUUUCUCAUAUGUUUGCAGAGUGUAGUGGACCGAAGGUUAAUGUACUGUAUCUGUGUAGUCCUGCAUUGUAAUCAAGAUGUUGUACAAAAUUAUGUGUUCCAUUAAUGUGGUUAUAACAAGAUUUACAGUUAGUGCAUGACCAUAUUUACACUGUGGAGGUUUUAACCAUGAGUGCACUCCAGUGCACCAUCAGGAAAAAGCCAGCUGAGACUGCUUCCAACAUGACCUGCUCUUCUCAAGCGGCUCAAACACCUGCCUUAGACUCUUAAGACAUGUGCUGUGCAUAUCAGAAAUGAAGGAAUGCUUGUUAGAGCCAUAGAGUAAUUCUAGUGUACAUGCCUUUAAUUGUCAUGCUGCAGGUAAUUGGUGCUGCUAAAUGGGAGCAACUGAACAUGUGUGCUGCAAUGUGUGCUUUCAUCUGAGCAGGACAAGGAGCAAGAUGUUUUCUAAACAUAGCUUUGUUUUUGUUUUUUGAUAGUUUUGUCACUUUUGGGGAAAUAUAAGUUGAUAGUGACAAGAAAAGGGAUUUUGGUUUGUCAAUAUUUUUAAUAAAUUCUCAGUUUGUUUAA